CGUUCUGCUAGAGUCUCCAUGCUGUUAACAAGUGUCUGCAUUUCUUCAUUAAAAAUCGAAAGAAAAUCUCGAGCCUUUACCUGCAGAAAAAUUCCCUGCAUAGGUAUAGUAUUUGAAAUCACAAGUCUACCUCACAGUGUAAGAAAUUUACCUCUUGUGUUCUUCAGUCGUUUGUUACCUACAACAUGGAUUCAUCAGCUGAAAAUCAACAGCUCCCCUAUUUGAUUUGCGAGGGAACGGAUGAACCUUGGGUGGAAACUGUGCAUGGCUCUUGGUAUGACGAGGAAAAAAAAUUGUGUUUUUGGCCGCCAAACGUCAAAGAUAGUAACAAAUUAAGAGGUUUCGUUUUGAAUGGCUACCAACCGGAUUCCGAUUGGAUUGGUUAUCCAGCCAAAAUAAGGAAAGCUUACGAAACCUAUGAGAAAGCCAUGAGUCGCAUGAGAAGAGCAAUUCAAAAUUCGUAUGAUCUGCUGGAUACAACAGAUACAGAAAUUGCCAAGAAACGCAUUCGUGUGUCUAAUCCGAGAUACCAUCAUAAUUCUGAACCUGGUGUAUUAAAGGAGAAACAUCCAUCAAGACAAAAAGUUAAGAAGUUAGAUGAUGUAAGACGAGGCCCGAUACCGGCACCACCUCCUUCUCCAUUUCAACCCGUUUCCCAAAAAACAAAUGCACCUAAUUCAAAAAACAAAUCCAUCAUGGCUCCUGCAGCAGUGUCAACAUCGACAGCUUCAACUUCCUCGAAAGUAACAGUCUCGAAAGGCUGUUCAAGUGCAUUGGUCAUACCGAAAAAUCCAGCUAAGUUACCAGAAAAAGGUUUCGUAUUAGUAUUUUUGGGGGUUUACUUAAAAUUUUUUUAGAAAAAACAAAAAGUCGCAACAUCGACUUCAUUGAUGAAGAAGAAGGAGAUGAAAUUGAAUGUGAUAACAACUUCAUACUACCACGGCCAAACUGUGAUGGAGUAAACCAAGAAAAUGGCAAGCAAGUUGCGCUUCAUGUUGAUUUAAAAAACGGGAAUGUGCUACCAGAAGGAAGGUUGUUAAAACCAAACGAACUGUUGAAACCCCUGAGAAUUGAAAGUAGAGAAGCCUUUCACACACGAGGGAUUGUAAAACUCCACCAUGGAUUAGGCGAGAACAAAAUUUUCUGUAAGAAAAUAUUUGAGAGAAUCGAUGCAUUGAAGCACAUGUUAAAGACCUCAAAAACCCCAAUAUUAAACGACACCGAUUAUGAGGAGGACGGUUUUCCAAUUUCAAAUAUGGAGGACUAAAAUUCUUUAAACACGAAGCUUCAAGACAAAAACAGUCGUAAACGACUGAAAAUCCGCCUUGCAUCCACUGGAGGUAGGGAUAUCGCUGAUGUGGCCCGUAAAGUUUGCGCUUUCUGCUUAACUAAGAAAUUCGCCCGUAACUUCAGUUGGGAAGGAAAAAAGGAAAUCUCUGUCUGAAAGAUUCAAUGCUUGGCAGGCCGCAGUCUGCAGUAGUGAAAAACCAAAAAUUACAAUGCACCAAGUGAAAUCUAAAUUUCAAGAUUGGCUGAAACAUGCUAAGGAUGGUAUGAAAGCUAAAGCGGCGGCAGCGGCGAAGGCAGCCGUGGCGGCGGAAGCGGUGGAAGCGGUGGCGGCGGAAGCGGCGGCUAAAGCUACUGAAGAUACGCUGGACGAAGAAAGUGGAAUGUAUUCCAGCUCCUCUAACACUUCUGAUGAUGAAUUGAAUUACUAAAUAUUGCAUUUGUUUUUCUUAGACCGCUCGGGGUCAUUUUUGUUUGUUUUACACAUUAUUGUGGAGUAUCUAUUUUUUGUUUUUUUGGAAAAUAAAACAAU